rnacentral:rRNA from 1 species
GGCGGACGCGUGAGUAACGCGUGAGAAUCUGCCCUCAGGAGGGCGAAAACGGCUGGAAACGGCCGCUAAUACCCCAUAUGCCGCGAGGUGAAAUGCAAUUCGCCUGAGGAUGAGCUCGCGUCUGAUUAGCUACUUGGUGUGGUAAAGGCGCACACAAGGCAUCGAUCAGUAGCUGGUCUGAGAGGAGAUCAGCCACACUGGGACUGAGACACGGCCCAGACUCCUACGGGAGGCAGCAGUGCGGGAAUUUUCCGCAAUGGGCGAAAGCCUGACGGAGCAACAGCCGCGUGAGGGAUCGAAGGCCUCUGGGCUGUAAACCUCUUAUUCUCAAGGAAGAAGAUCUGCACGGUACUUGAGGAAUAAGCCACGGCUAAUUCCGUGCCAGCAGCCGCGGUAAUACGGGAGUGGCAAGCGUUAUCCGGAAUUAUUGGGCGUAAAGCGUCCGCAGAGCGGCCUUGUAAGUCUGUCGUUAAAGCGUGGAGCUUAACUUCCAUUUCAGCGAUGGAAGCUGCGACGCUUGAGUGUGGUAGGGGCAGAGGGAAAUCCCGGUGUAGCGGUGAAAUGCGUAGAUAUCGGGAAGAACUCCAGUGGCGAAGGCGCGCUG